rnacentral:rRNA from 1 species
UGGGGGAUAUUGCACAAUGGGCGAAAGCCUGAUGCAGCGACGCCGCGUGGGGGAUGAAGGCCUUCGGGUUGUAAACUUCUUUUGCUCUGAACAAGGCAUGCUAAUGGGUGUGUUGAGUGUAGGGGUUGAUUAGCGCCGGCUAACUACGUGCCAGCAGCCGCGGUAAUACGUAGGGCGCGAGCGUUGUCCGGAAUUAUUGGGCGUAAAGGGCUUGUAGGUGGCUGGUUGCGUCUGUCGUGAAAGCUCAUGGCUUAACUGUGGGUUUGCGGUGGGUACGGGCUGGCUUGAGUGCAGUAGGGGAGGCUGGAAUUCCUGGUGUAGCGGUGGAAUGCGCAGAUAUCAGGAGGAAUACCGGUGGCGAAGGCGGGUCUCUGGGCUGUUCCUGACACUGAGGAGCGAAAGCAUGGGGAGCGAACAGG